UGUUAAUAACUUGUUUAAAAUGAGAAACUAAGUAGAAGUAAGAAAAAUAAUUUUUGUUUACAAAUAAUUAGUAGUUUUUAAUGAAAAAGGAAUAAAAACUAAAGAGAAAAGUACUGUGAAGGAAAGUUUAUUAAAAUUUAAGAUAGUAGAAGUAUAAUUUUGUGUCUUGUGUAUCAGAAAAGAUUUAAAUGAUUUAUGUAAAUAAAUAUCUCGAAAUAAAAUAUAGUGAUUUUUAUAAAAUUUUCUUUUUAGAAAAAAAGAAUUUAAUGUAAAAUUAAAAGUGAAAUGCUAGUUGAGUUUUAUGAUAUCUAGUUUUUUUAGAAAAAAAUUUAAUUUGAUUUUUAUAAAAAAGUUUUGUAAAAUUAAAUGGUAGGAGGGAAUAGCUUCUUAUGGAAAAAAGUAUAAAAUAGUUGGGUAAAAUUUAAAUUAUAAAUUAGGCUUAGAAGUAGCCAUAUUAAAAAAGUGUUUUAAUUAAAUUAUAAUUGUUUAGAAUAUUUAUAGCAGCUUUUAAAAAUAUAAAAAGAUUGGUUUAAAUAAAUAAAAAUAAGAUAUAAUGAUUUUAUUAGUAAAAUUUAUUGAGAAAUAAGAAU
rnacentral:rRNA from 1 species